GUCUAUUUGGAGGUAUAAGAAGUCUAGCCUGCCCACUGAUUAUAAUUGUUUAAGGGCCGCGGUAUUAUGACCGUGCAAAGGUAGCAUAAUCAUUAGGUUUUUAAAUGGAAUCUUGCAUGAAUGGUUGGACAAAGGAGAAACUGUCUUUAUUUUAAAAUUUGAAUUUUACUUUUAAGUGAGAAGGCUUAAAUAAUUUAGGGGGACGAUAAGACCCUAUAAAGCUUUACAUUGUAGUUAUAUUUGAGUAAAUUUUAUUAUAAAAGUUUAAUAUAAUUGUUUGUUUUAUUGGGGAGAUAGAAGUAUAAAUAAUAUUAACUGCUUUAAUAGAAAAUACAUAUUAGUAGGGGAAAUAAAAUAGAUCCUAAAUAAAGAGUGAAAGAUUAAGUUACUUUAGGGAUAACAGUGUAAUUUUUUUUGAGAGUUCAUAUCGAAAGAGAAGUUUGCAACCUCGAUGUUGAAUUAAAAUAUCUAUAUAAUGUAGCUGUUAUAUAAGAGGGUCUGUUCGACCUUUAAUUUUUUACAUGAUUUGAGUUCAGAUCGGCGUGAG
rnacentral:rRNA from 1 species